ACAUUGCCAUUGGCACUUUCAAGUUUCUCACAAAUGGCUUGCAUUGCAGGUAUGAAGUCCUUUACAAGCACAUCACCCUUAAAACAAUCUCCAGUAGUUUCUUCAUCGACAUCAGCUUCUACUAGAUCAACAAGACUUCCAAGAGCUUGUUCUUCUUUGUUGAUUUCAAAUCUCUGUUGAGCACCUAAACGUGUUGCAUAGCGAGACAAGUACAUCAAAUUAGUACUGACAGAGCUUUUUAUUUCACCAGCAGCUCCAGCUUCUAUCGUCUUCACAAUUGCCGGUUGUCUCACAAUUAAGUUUCGACUCUCAAGGUUCUUCACUAUAUAAAAGAAGUUUCUCCCUUCCA
rnacentral:lncRNA from 1 species